rnacentral:misc_RNA from 1 species
UUUUGUAUCCUCAAUAUUAAUGAAAACAAUAACGGCUGAUUAUUGUGGCAGUGAAGUUAGCCUAGUGGACUUUACACCGAUGUUUUUGUGUGUUGUGGUCUUGAUACUGCUAACGGUGCCACUAGUUAUCACCCUCAACCCCGAGGAGGUUAAAGUAAAUGCCAGCCAAACGACCAACAAUGAAACUUAGUCUGGCAUCAAGGAAUUUUGGAAAAAUGGACGCAAUGCGACGUUUAUGUUCACUGGCCUUGUCAUCGGUGUUGUAUAUGGAUACAUCAUGUCUUAUUUGACUUGGAGGGUCGACAUCUUGGUGCUGGGUUUUUUUGCACAAUGGUCGUGGGAUUGGCGUACAUUGCUCAGACAGCUCGUCCUAGAUGUCAAGCCGCUGUUACAUUCAUGUUUUCUGCAGCUUAUACGUCUUUGGGCUUCAGCGUGGGCUCAGAAAUUGGCGGGCUACUGACAGGAGAAUAUGGUGUAAAAAACGUUUUCUACAUGGUGUCAGGCCUCUCAGCAUCCGUCGCCAUUUUUAUUGGAAUGUUCGAUUGGAUAUAUUCCAUGAACAACAGCAGGGACGAGGUAUCAUCAACAUCUGAACACUACACUGCUGCUGGGCAUCAUCCAGCACUUACUGGUCAAGAUAGUUGUAAUUCCGACAAAGACAAGUUGAUAGAUUAUGGGAGUACUGACGGGUCAUGAAGGCUGGCUUAUCAAUGAUGAAG